AUUCUCCUCUUUUUCCUCCCACGUCGCCUGUACGUGACAGUUAUUUUCCUCUAUUUCAAAAACCACCAACCUCAUAGAUAUGUCUCAUAACUAUCACUCCUUCUCCAUCUCUCUAUGCUUCUAUAUCUGUAUGUGCCUCAUCGGUCUCGGUGAUUAUUCCGAGGAGUAGUCACAAUCGAAUGCCUAUCUAUCCCAACACAGAAGUAGAUCGUUGUACAUUCACCGUAAUCGACCACCGCCAUAACUAUAUCGUCUACAAAAAGAUUUGAUUUGCAAUUUCUUCAAUCACACAGAAACUAUUUGUCUCUUCACCUAAAGUGCAACCACAUGACUCCAUUUGAAUCACCUCAUGAAGUGGUUUAAUUUGAUUGCUGCAGUGAAGUUGUUCCAGAGUAAGGAUUUAGGUUUGAUUAUAGGUUGUGCUCACAUGAUUAACAUUCGUUCUACGUUUAAUUUGUCAGAAGAAACUGACUACAAAAUGAUGUAGAUGGACCCUAAACCGUUUCCAGAAGAGUACGAAAAGUGUAUUGUUCAUUCAAAUACCCCUUGGGGGUUUUGCUGUACGGACCACCUGGAAGCUAAAGCCAUUGCAAAGGAAUCUGGAGUUGUUUUUUAUCCAUGUUACGGUUUCCAAUAUAAUAGCUAGUGGCUUGGUGAUGCUAAAAAACUUGAUCUCGAUGCCUAAAAUGCUUAUAGAUGUAACAUUGGGUGACCAACAACAAAGAAACCUUUCGAUGCUGCUUUUAAGAGAUUUUGUCAUGUUCGUGCGAAGGGGCACGAAUGUAGUUGCUUCCUGGCGUUUGCGAGAAUGGAAUUGGAUCUCUCAGUGAAUCUCGAGUUUUGCCUAUUCCAGCUGGUGAUCUUAGUUUUGGCUCGAGGAUACAACUAAAAAAGGCGAUGUAUUAGGAAGGGGGUGUGGCAUCGCAAGGGGGUCGGUCUCUCUCUCUCUGUUUAGAUGGCUCAUGGACAGGUUAUCAGUAGACACCAAUGCUGCUCAUGAAGGCAACACUACAACCGGUGAACUGAGAUGGAAAUUGGUAGCUUGCAUUAUGCAAAUGGCUCAGUUGGUACCCUGAGUUUGUGUUUUUUUGCGGUGCUCGACACACGGAGUAAUUUGUUUUGGAUUUCUUAUGAUUGCCGAAGCUACGUGAAAGGAGUGGUCACAAGAACAUGAAGAGUAUAUAUGAUUGUGUAAGAGUGGCUAGCCUUCAAUAUAUACAACCCUAACACAUUCACAACGAGUUAAAGAGUUCUUUGCAGUAGUAGCUCAUGUAGACUAAACACCUAGCAAGUGAUCCCCAUAUUACAAUACCUCAAACUGGAAUUUUCUUUUUGUUCAUGGUUUUAAUCUUGAAAUUUGUCUAUUAACAUUUGUGAUAUUGUUAUAACCUUGGUCAGGUUUAUAUCAAUUUCUGGAGGUGUCUAUUUUCACCUGAGGAUGCAGAGUUGAAGACGACUAUGUUUCGGUUCAACAUUUAAAUCAUAUCCAAAGAGUCGAUGCAGAUGUAGGAUGUUUUAUGUGUUGUUGAAAUAAUUGGCAGAAGUGAGACAGGUUAGAGGUGUGAGACCCAUGUCCUUAAGAGAAAUGGCAAAUUUAUUCAACAGCUUGGGUUUGUUCUGGAUUGGUAAGUUAUUCAUAAUAUUAUUAUAUUUUAGUAGUGCUAAACUCCGGGUAAUACAAAGACACCGAAGUAAAAUCAGAGGGUUAGAUUAGGAAUGGAUUAUAAAUCUUUAUGUCUCUCAUUUGGUAGCUUAGAUGAUGCCAUCAAUUUCAGAUGUCAAUUUACAGUUGGUAACUUGGAUGCUUCUAUCCAAAUGCUUUGGGUGGUCUUGUACUUUCAUAUGCAAUUUCAAGAUCUCUAUAUGCACUAACAGUUAAUGUAGGCAAAGACUUCCGUA